GUGGUUACUGACGUUACGCGCAAGUUCGUCACGCAGUGUUAUACGCGGUAGCUGGUAAAUAGUCACCAGAUGCCGGCCGUGCGACUCCAGUCUGCGACUGCUUUGUUCAGUGUGACCGACGGAGGCGAUUCAUAGUUUUGAAAAACACGUUCUUCAAAUGUUUCCGCACGUCAGUAGGGUGCCUUGAUGCGCGUUUUGUCCGCUCACAUCGAGGCACAGUACACGGCAGUGAGUAGCAGCGCUGCAAUCCUUUCUCGACGACGCGUUCUGUGGCCUUGGAAAAUGCCUUGACGCUCGGGGACGGCCGGUAGCUUGGCGAUUCCUCGCUUGGCGCACCAUUGAAAACCGGCGGUCAUCCAGCAGUGUACGCUGCCAGCGUAUUUUUAUUGCCAGAGGUAGCAAACAGCAGUGCCACGACAAACAGUGGAGUGCUGACCAUGCAGUCCAGAAGGUGGCUGAGGCAAGUAUGCUAUAGGAGGUGCUUAUUCAGGCAGAAGAAAUAAGCUUCCGUAGCCAACGUAAAGGAAGCAUCUUCAAAAAGCAGUGCUACAAGGAUGUGAGCAGCAGUUUCCCUUCAACGAACGGGUCAAAUUCAUGGAAGCCACAUGCCUGCUGCUUCUGGCCUACACAAACAUGCAGCCACCAUAGUAAAGUUCUUGCAAAGACAUUCUACACGAACUUGCCCAAAGGCAGAAGGAAGGCACGCACAGAUGGACGCACAGAAAUCAUGGGGCUGCCGUAGAAGCUGUGAAUGAGCAUUAACCUACGUACAGAAAGGAGCGAAGUGGAGCUGUCCAUGGGCCGUGCACACAGUUUCAUAAGCAGGCUUGCAACACUUUUGACAAAUAUGUUCCUGAAUACACCUGCCGAAGUGGCAUUUAAAGAAGCAUGUAGUAGUGUACUUCACUGUUUAUUUGGCAUGAAGCAGCAGGUAUGCUUCCGUCAUCAGCAAGUUCACACAGUACAGUGCAUCUACACAUGGCAUGCUACCCCCACAUCUACCAGCCCGGGAUGUGUAGCUUGAUUGUAAAAUGUUUACUUUGACUUAACACAACAAUUAUUAACAAAAUGACAUGAAAGUUUUGCCACCUAUGCAGGCGACAUUCUCAGUAUACGCUGGCAAAUAUAAGCGGAGUUUGACCAGUCCAUUAGUCGCACAUUUCCUUGUAAACAUCUCGUAGAGGGCCACUGUUGUUGUUGCAAGCCAAU